CAAAUAUUUCCUAGCUCUGGCAGGGCAGAUGGUGGAAAGUAAUUUUCCAAAACUCUUUUAGAAAAAGGGGGGGAAAAACACCCAAAUCACCCCAAAUCACCCCCCCCCCCAACUUGAAGAAUUAGGGAUUUCAGCGUGCAGGCAUGCCUUACAGUUUCUCUCUCUUUGGUUGUACAAGGCUGUAUGGCAGAGUGGUGGGAAGUGUGCAUGAAUGGGAAUGUAUCAUAUUACAUGUGGGAUGUUAGCAAGGCUGGGAUUUUUUUCACAGGAAACUGCAUUUGCAAGGAGCAUUCAGCAACACGCAGUCCCUUAAGAGACGUAGGUGAAGGAGUGAGCAAGACGCACUUUCCCAGACCUCGCAGGAAGCCAGCGCCUACGGGACUCAGGACUCACGGGGCGGGAGGGCCGAGCCUGGGCCUCGCGCUGCUGGGCCCGGCCAGCCCGGCGUGAAGGCGUGAGACCACAACUGCGUUCCUCACGCUCUCCUUCCCCGCUGCCCUGCCCGUUACCAGGGCGGGCGGGGGGACGUCAAAGCGUUCAGACAGCGGUGGGGGAAACAGCCCUGACGGCGUUUCCCUCCCGCUCCUCGGUGGAUCCAGGGAGUGCACGAGCUCGGGCCGGAUUUAGCUCUUGGAUCCACAGGAAACAUCUCUGCGCUGACUGCUCCCGUCCUUCGCCCUCAGCCCUGCAAGUCGCACGCGCAAGGGGAACAAAAAACCGGGGUCAACGCGCGGCAGGCAGAGCGGAGGGCGCAACGCGGGCGGCCGAAAGAGCGGGGCUCUGCUUACUGCCGCCCCGGGGGCGUUCGCUCCCGGCGCUCGGAGCUGCUCUCCUCCUCCCCCCUUGCAGAGUUGUAAGCCCCUCUCCCGGCGCUGGCCGGGAGCCUGCAGAGACGAGCAGCGGGCAGCAUCGAUGCAGCAGGACCGCUGGUAAGUUCGACUCAGUCAUCGCAAUCGGUUUGAUUCCCGAUUAUUCUGCUCCGGAAUCAAGCUUCCUCUGGGUAAGUCGCAGUGUAGUACGCGUAUGUGUAAAAAAAUUAUUGCAAUCGUGUUUUUAAUUAAAAUGUGUAAGAUAAUACCAAAAGGAGAGAGGAGGAGGAAGGGAGGGAGCCCAGAUUAAGUUUUUAAUUGUUUUAAUAGUGAGAUUUGGUUCAGUGAGAACAGGGCAUAUUGGUUUCCUUGGAAACAUUGGCGCUGUAUUAGCUGUAUAAAGUCUAGCAUAAAAGAUUUGAAAAUAGUAAAGCCUUUAGGUUUGCAGUGAUGCUGUAACGCACUUCAUUUGGGAAAUCAGAUUCGCGCAUGGCCCCUGGAGUCCCCAAAAGGAGUCGUUUUUGUGUGUCCUCUUAAGCCUUAGGAUUAAUCGUUUCACCAGUUAUCGGAGUUAUUAGAAAUCUAAAAUGGUGACACCAAAACAAACCAACCAAAAACCCUUAAACGACUCAGUAUCCCUGACUCAAAGGGUUUAGUCAGGCGUGCCUGCUCGGCCUGCUUGGGCUCGGGCAAAGCUCCACGGGGUUUGAGCGAGAAGUGUCGAAACUGGGCUUUUUUAUCGCUUCGCUAUAACUGAAAAUUAUUGGCUUUGUAGCACUAGGUAACAUUGUAUAUACAACCUAUACCUGAAGUUAAAUAUUGGGGGUUUAUUCUCUUUGUGAAACGAAGCUCUCCAGUAUCGACUUUGUCUCUCCUGUAGGGAUUGAAACCUUGGGAGGGAGUUAACAGCUCCUUACAGUUGAGCCGGGCUGAAACAACCACUUUUAACGUCUGCGGUUCGCCUGUGAGCCGAGCGGGUGACGAUACAGCGCAUCUGGGGAUCCAAAUACUGCAGGAACUCUCUCUUUCAAACAAAAGGGGGAAAAAAAGCCCGCCGAUAAAGUAGCAGCCGUAGCGUUUGGGACUAUCAGCGAGGAGACGGGGUGGUUGGCUUUAGCACGAACGACUAAUCGCUCCGUUGAAAUCAUGUCAGCAGCUGAGUAAAUAGCCUUUCGGGAAAAGACAUUUAUGGCAGUGUUUGUGUUUCCAGGACCCGGCCUCUGUCCGGGCCCUCCUAGCAGGCAGAGC
rnacentral:lncRNA from 1 species